rnacentral:rRNA from 2 species
CGUCCGCCCGUCGGAUUCAGUCCGCCUGCGCGGCGCAGGCGUCGGUCGUGCAUCUCUCGUGGGAGCGCGCCGGCGUCUUGGGCGUCGUGCGGCGGCCGUACUUUCGGCGGGCGGAGCGCCACGACCGGUUCGCCGGCGGCGAGAAACUCCCGGGCAAGGUGACCCUCGCUUCGGCGUCGGAGCAUACAGGCUCGGUGAGCGCAGGCCCGUCGGCGGACCGAGGAAGACCGUCGCGGUGCGGCGUCGACCGCCCGUCCUCGGCGCGCGUUCGACUGGGGGGGACUGGUUCCAGUGCCCUCCGACCGCGUGCGUCUAGCGGCGGGACGGCCCGGCGUCGCGCCUGGGGUCGGUGGCGAAACGGCCGGCAACCUGUCCGACCCGUCUUGAAACACGGACCAAGGAGUCUAACAUGUGCGCGAGUCGUUGGGCGCUACGAAACCCGAAGGCGAAAUGAAAGUGAAGGCCCGGUCUCCGGCCGGCCUAGGUGGGAUCCGGACGGUCGAGGCCGUCCGGCGCACCACCGGCCCGUCUCGUUCGCCGCGUCGAAGAGGCGGAGCAAGAGCGUACACGUUGGGACCCGAAAGAUGGUGAACUAUGCCUGAGUAGGACGAAGCCAGAGGAAACUCU